GUGUCAGCCGCCGCGGUAAUACGUAGGUGGCAAGCGUUAUCCGGAAUUAUUGGGCGUAAAGCGCGUGCAGGUGGUUUCUUAAGUCUGAUGUGAAAGCCCGCGGCUCAACCGUGGAGGGUCAUUGGAAACUGGGAGACUUGAGUGCAGAAGAGGAAAGUGGAAUUCCAUGUGUAGCGGUGAAAUGCGUAGAGAUAUGGAGGAACACCAGUGGCGAAGGCGACUUUCUGGUCUGUAACUGACACUGAGGCGCGAAAGCGUGGGGAGCAAACAGGAUUAGAUACCCCUGUAGUCC
rnacentral:rRNA from 1 species